CAAUACAUACAACCCAAACAAUAUAUAGACACUUACCUUGGGUGGUUUUCUUGAUGAUAGGAACAAAAAUUCAGUAGCAGUCGGAGGAUUUUCAGCACAGCCACCAUAUCAGAGGGAAAGAAAAGAGAAAUAAAAGAAACACAAGGGGUGACAUAUAGUUUUGAAUCACAGGACAGUAUUAUCACUAAAGAAACAAAUUUGCAGUUGAUCCAGAGGGCAACACAGACACAUGCUGAGUGCAAGUGGACUGCAGAAUAUUCACAAGAAUAUGUUAAGAAAUGAUCUUCAAGAACAUUUUGCCAUGGGCCAGAAGACAAACCAUUCCUGGAACUAUCCUGUUAUCCUGGGCACAUUUAUUUCCUCAUCUUCCAAAGAUCUCCCCUCAAUCACAGAUUCCAGAUCUGACCCUACUCCCCUCCUACAAUUAUUUUAUGUCCACAUUUGCUGCUGUUGGUAGUCACUAUUCCCUUCACAUUCAUGUUUGUCUGUUUUUUUCUGCCACCAAUGAUAAGGUAAGAAGCAGCAGCAAAUGAGGUAAGAAAAUGGGGAAGAGCCAAUGAUGUGGUCAUAACAAGAAAAAAAGGAAUAUAGUCAAGUUACCAUGAAAAAAUAGGUAAAAAUCUAUUUGAUUGUCUACAUGGGUGAAUUUAUACAAAUAUGUUUAGAAGAAACAUACACAAAUUUAGAGAAAGGCAUAUAUGUGUGUGAUUUAUGUAUACAAGUCUAUGUAUAUAUGCACAUAGAUCAGAGACCACUUAAUUCAAUUUCUUCAUUAUUCUAAUGAAAAAACUGAGACUCUGAGGGAUUAAAUUACUUGCCUAAGGUCACACAGGCUCUAAGUGAAUCUUCUAUUAAAAUCCUACUAAGACUCCUCAUUACAACACGGAAAUGAUACCGGGUUCUCUUAGACUGCCGAUAAGAGUCCAAAUUCUUGAAAAUUUGCAAAAAUGAUCAAACUGGAAACAUUUCAAGUUUAAGCCCAAUGGCACACUACAUGUCCACCUUCUGAGAAACAAUCUAGAUAAAUUUUUAGAGUUUUGUUGGUAAAACGGUGGUCACCAAAUGAAUUUUUUGCAAUGGCAACUAAUGAAAUCCAAAUGAACUGCAAGCUACAUUAGUGAAAAAGUAUACAUGAUGAUAAAAUAAUAGAUCUGCCAAUGUAUCCUAGUAUGAUUCUUUAAAUAGAAUUUUUUACGUAGGAGGAACCUUCUCUACUCUAACUCUUAACUACCUUCCACCCUGAAAAUUUAGAAACUGGAACCUAGAAGGUCUAUGACAUAGACAAGAUCAUUCAGUCACUCACUGGCAAAACUGAUACCAAAACAAAAACAAUGCCCAUUUAUAAAAGCAUAUUGAGUUUACAUCUCAGUGAGUUAAAUAAUUCAAAUAUCUUCUUCUAUAGAUAAGGAAAUUGAGAGUCUGUGAAAUUAAGGGACCUCAUAUUAGUUUAGAUAUCUAGUAAGUAUUUGAGGAAAGGGGAAGGGGCACGGCCUGUGGUCUCCAGGGAGUGGGGUGAGGGCAGGGUUUGGGACUGGAUCGCUAAAGAGUUCACCAUCACUGGCCUAGCCCUUACUACUCUUCUACCUUGGAAUUGAUAUUUAUAUUUAUUUAUAUACAUAUAUAUUUAUUUAUAUAUAUUUAUAUCAAUUCCAAGACAGAAGGUAAGGUUUUUAAAAAAAAAGUUUAGGCCCAUUCAGCUAGACUGCAUCUAAAACUAAGGUCCAACUUCUGAAAUCUCUAUAGAUAUCAGGGCUUUCCCAAAUAACCAUUCUCAGGAUUGUACAACUGUGAAGUCAACUGUUCUUAGGGUUCUGAUCAAAAUUUAGACAUACAGGGCAACAGCAGAAGGCAGGAGAAGGAGAGAGUCAAAUAAAAGAUGCAGAGACCCAGAAACAUGCACAGGGAUACAAAGUGACAGUGACAGACAGAAUGGCAAAGAAAGUAACAGAGUACUCCCUAAUAGUAAAGAUAGGGAUCUUAGAGAUCACCUGAUUCACUUUAACAAUUGAUUCAUUUUAACAAUGAUAAAACAAAGGUUGGUUUGGGAAAAGUAUCUUUUUUCAACAAAAUAAAACCACUUAUAAAGAAGCUCCCCCUCCAAAAAAGGAAAAGAUCCUUAAACUUUCAAGCAACAACUUAAGCUCUUUUUUAAAAAAUGAAAUGAAGACUAGCUACUUAUAAAUUAGAUUCAAUCUCAAAACUAUCAUUGCAUGAAUAGCAUCUAGUCUUUACCAUAACCAUGUUUUUCUGUAAUUGUCAUAAAACACAACCACUAAUAGUGAUUCGUAGUCAUAACAUUUUAAUCUGUGUGAGCUUAUAAAAUAGUGAUUUGCUCAUUAAUUUGGAAUGAAACACUCCAUAAAUUACACUACAGUGGGAAUUCAGAGGCAAACUGCCAGGUCACAUUGGAUUUAAAAUUUAACUCAAUAGAUUACGAAAACAUCACCACAAGCACUUCCAACUUUUUCCUUUUUAGAGGGAGUGAGGGUCUAGACCCAUCACUUCAUGGUAUGGAGCAAGUUUUGGAAAAAGAAACUCAGUCUCCCAAUGCAAAUGAAUAACUCUUGCACAUCUUAGUCUUAAAGAGUUGUCCUUAGCACAGGAAGAUUAGUAAUCAAGAAGUACAAAGCAUUAAACGACUUGAAGAUCUAUUCAUGGAUGUAAUAUGAAAUGUCUUAAGAGCACAUUUGCAGGGAAAAAUAUUAGAACAUGUCAGGCCUAUUUAUUGAUUUCUGGAUACAUUUCCUCAACUACACUGUAACCAUCCUGUGGCUAAGCUACAUCAUCUCAUAUUCUUUGAUGCCUCUAGUAUCUAAACUGUUAGACAUGGUCUCAAAUAUUUUUUCAUUGAUUAAUUUUGAAGUUUGCCAAAUCUCUGCUUGGUAUUUCCACCUCAAUAUCCCAUAGUCAGCAAAAAAGCAUGUCCAAAAAGGAAUUCAACAACUUCCCUCCCAAAUUUUCUACUAUAAUCAAAGAACCAUCAUCUUCCCAGUUGCCUAGGUUCACAGCCUCAAAGUCCUCCUUAAACUCUUUUCUUUCAUUCACUCCACAUAUCCAAAAAGUUUUCAAGCUGUAAGAAUUGGAAUAAUAUUUCUACCCAGAUAUAUAUUUUAUAAAGUUUAUUGGAAAGGGUAGACAAUUAUUCCCCUAAGUAACCUGACCCUGUGGUGCCUAGCCUGCAUGCCUCUUUCCUCCUUCCCUUCCUCACCUGCCUGCUCUGUUCCUGACCUCCCUUCUUUGGUCUCUUCUCUAUUCUUCCCCAAUUCCCUCUUGAUUCUCCCCCUAAGAAGCCCCAAACCUUGACCUUUAUUGAAGCACAGCACCUUGACCUGUGCUUCAACCAUCAACUGUGGUAUGUCAGGAAUGUUUGAUAAACAGGUAAAGCUCCUCAGGAGAGGGAGGGGAUAAAACUUCCUUGACACAAAGUCUUGUCAAUUCUACCUCCACAACAUUUCUGAUGUUAGCUUUCCACUAACAGCAUAGCUCUAGUCCAGUCUUCUAUCAUCUUGGACCAAGACUACUAACACAACAGCCUUCUCUUACAAGGCAAAGCAAUUUAUCAUAUCACUAAUUAGCACUUAAAAGAUCCAUUGACCCAACUAAUUGCCCUAAGCCAUAACUUUUUGAUGAUGCUAUUGAGUUUUAUAACAGUUUUAAAAGUUGUUAUGAUUAGAAUGGAUGACCUUAAAGAUGCUAUUCUACCACCAUCCUUAUUUUACAGAGAAGGAAACUGUGGACCAAAGAGGAAAAAGUGACUCUUUCAAGGCCACACAGCUAAAUGACUCAAACCAACUAUUUCAUCAUUAGAUAAUAGUUAAUAAAUUUGUCAAUCAGUUGAUGCAGACUAUUUUAUUGAAUUUUCCCAGCAAUGAAUCUUAAUCUCAUCACAUCACAACUUUCCACAACUUGCCUGCCCUGUCUCACAAUCUAUGGCUCUAUUCUACACAAAUAUGUCAUUUAAAUUUCAAGAAGUUUUCAAGGUUUCCCCCCACCAUUUUAAGGUAACCACUAUCUGUUAAAUUUUUCAUAAUACUAAAAUGUAAUUAGUGACAAAAAAAGAAAAGCAACUAAAGAGAGAAAAGAAUGUACCCAAACAAAUAAAAAUAUUAUACUUAUAUCAUUACCCCAAAAAUUUGCCACAUAACUGAGAAAACAAACAUACUACUGUAAGUAUCCCUGUAAUGUAAGCCCUAACAUGCUUUCAGUGUAACUGGGAUAAUAAGUAGGUAAACACAAUAAGUAUCAAUUCUGAGAACUUGUAACAGUUAACCACAGAAGUUAAGUACAUCUAAAAGCUUGUUAAUCUAUUCAACAAACUACUUGUGGGUUUAUUGUUUGUGAUGCUUCUAUGAUUUGAGAUAAAUUGCAUCUGAACUGAACUUGGAAAUGGCAUUUUCAGAUAGUUCAAUGGCAUUUGGUCUUCCUGAUUUUCCAUCUGAGGCUCUCUGAAUGUGAACUACAUGAAUAUGCGGUCAUUUAGGGCAGGGUUCUAAAUUAGGGAGUGUCUCCUCAAGACAACACAAAGAGCCAAGAGCAAAAGAUAUGCUUCCCUUUCCUCAAAGGCUUCCUUCCUGUUCCCUGACUUAAAGUCUCCAAUCUUCUUCCUCUGGAGGGAAUUACAAACAGGCUCCUCCUUUCAGUUACAGAAUUCACCCACCUACACACCAGAGUUGGCAAGGCUGGGUUGGGCAGGGCAAAUAAACACUACUGGGGAUUUCUGUACUUUGAUUUUGUUUCCUAAUAUUUAAAGGACACCACUAGAGGUCUUGCAUGGAGCAAACCCCAGCAGCAAACAUGGUGAAUCCCAAAUACAUACUUUUAACUGAAGGUAGAAAGAGUUUAGGGAGAAUAAACAUUUUAUAUGGUCACAUUUCAGACAGGAAACAAAUUUCCAAACAAAGACUUGUGCUGGAAAUGUCAUUUCUCUAUUGUCAAAUAUUCAUAUUUAUUUCAUAAAUCAGUUGUACUAUAAGGAUUAGGUUUGGGGUUAGUUGUUAAUCUCUAGUUCACAAAAAGAAUAGCACUGUACAACAGGAAAUCUAACUGAAAGGAGGUCAAAAUCAGAUCACCCUGAUUAUUUUCUAAAGGGUCAGGAAACAGUUGCUGUCCUGCUAUUCUUUCAUUCACUAUUUAAGACAGGCAAUAUUUAAAAUGACUGCAUCCUAGAUUCUUUGUUUGACUGACAAUCCCUUCAGAGAUUUGGAAGUUUCACACAUCUGCCCAGUUUCACUCAAAGGCUCCUUGUGCUUUCAGUCUUAAGAACCAGUUACUUCAAGAAAACAAGAGAUACCCUUGCAGUAACUUAUCCCCAUCUCUCUAAAUGUAUUAACAAAAGGUAAAUCAAAAUGCAAAGUAUUUCAGCAACUAAAAUGUUACCUCCUUAUUCUCCAGUUGAAUCACAACCCUAUCUCAUUUUAUACCUUAAUCUAAAAAUUCCCAAUAUUCAUUUGAUAUAUUGUGGUUUAUAUUAUUCAACUUUACACUAGACCUGGCAAACAAGUUGGCUGGUUUUGUUCAAUUACUUUCCUCUCUCUUCUCCUCUGAUUUAUUAUAAGGGAUGGCUCUCUAAAUGAGGAAAAGGUAAAGAAAGGAUAUGCUAGGAAAUUAAAGCAAUGUAAAAAUAAAAGCAUUAAUAAAAACAAAGUGAGGGUAUUCAAUUGUGCCGAUGGAUCUACAAGGAAAACUCGGUUUAAAAAAAGGUCACCUAAUCAACCAACUUACUGAAUGCUUAACUCCCACCUAGUUCUAUCUAGCUCAUGGUAGCACAUAAACGCAUUUAAACAAGAAUGAAAUUUGGAUUUGAAAUCCAGUUCAACCACUAGCUAUGUAACACUAGGAAAAUAACUUCCCCUAACUGGAACUCAAUUUACUUAUAUGUAAAAUAAUGGGGUUGUAUUAGAUGAUAUCUAAAAUCUAAGUUUUCAUAUAAAGAGCUAUGCUAUAAUUUUAUCAAUGUGAGAAACUCCUACUGAUAGAUUGGAACCUGUAUAGAACCUUUUAAAUUAUUUCUGAAGAAAUCCUUAAGGCAAUAGAAGUUAACUGAUUUACCCAGAGUAAACCACUUCUUUCUGACUCAAGUUCAGCACCCUUGUCCCCAAAAUCACCAUUUAGGAAAAUGACGCUUGUGGAAAAGAAGUUUGACAUCCUAGCCAUCAUCAACACCAAUGGCUGACUAACUGCCAUCAACGAAGCAGGCAAAUCAGUCUAUCUGAAGCAGAAAGAAACAGCUAGGGGGGGAUGGCAUGUACCGGAUGAACUAAACCACCACCACCUCCUCUCAGAUACUAAUGGAAAUAGGCCUGUACUCAAGAAACUAAGGACCCCAACCACUAGCCCUGCUUUUAACCAGAUAUCCUAUAGCCAUCACUGAAAGAAGCAACCCCUGAGGAAAAGGAAAACACCAGUUCUACCAACUAUACCUUAUAUGCUGGUAAGCCUAGGAUCCCAGAGAAAUCACAGUACCAUUCCCUCCUCAACCUUGACCUCCCCCGAAUCACUGGCUCUUUUUCCAGUCCAGCCCCAUCCCAGAUAUCUUUCAAGGAAGAUAUUCUUGUGGAGGUUCAACCUAACAAUUGCCUCUGUAAGCACACCUCAGCAAUGACAGCUACUGAAUACCAAGAAAAUACAGUUCUAGAUACCAAAGUCUUUGGUACUGUCAAACAAUGCAACACUAAAAAGAGACAUGACUUUAUUAAUAAAAACAACACUAAAGAUAUAUUACAACCAACUUUGUAGAUAUAUAUUUAUGACCAUUGUCUUUCCUUCUGCCCUACAACUGAUUCCUCCUUUCAAUAGUCUGUUAGAAUGGGAGAUAGUGAAAAGGAGAUACUGUUUUGCUUUUCUCUUUGAAUCCCCAGUACUUAGGGCUGUGUUUGAAAAGAGUAAACAUUUAAUAAAUGCUUUUUAAAAAUUCAUUCUAUCCACCAUUCAAUGUUUCCACUACCUAUGAAACUAUUAUUUAAAAUCAAAACAUCAUGUAAAACAUCAAAUAUAUACAACCCUAGGAAUUAUAAUAGUAUAUACAUUGAAGGAGUAACUAAGUGGUACAGUGGACAGAGCUCCAGGCAAGGAGUCUGCAAGACUAAACUUCCUGAGUACAAAUCUGGCCUCAGACACUUCCUAGUUGUAUGACCCUAGGCAAGUUACUUAACCCAAUUUGCCUUAGUUUCACCAUCUGUAAAAUGAGCUGGAAAAGGAAAUGACAGUAUCUGCCAAGAAAACCCUAAACUAAGUCACAAAGAGUUGGACAUGACUGAAAUAUGACCAACGAAAAGAAUUUUUUGAAGGUUUUUUUAAUACAAAGAUUUUUUCCAUGGUAUUCUAUGGAAAUCACAGAUGCAUUCAUACAACUCAUUUGACUGUGAUGUCUUUGGGUAGCUAGGUGGCACAGUGGAUAGAGUGCUAGGUAUGGAGUCAGAAAGACUUGAGUUCAAAUCCAGCCUCUGACACUAGCUAUAUGACUGUGGGUAAGUCACUUAACCAGCAUCUUUGCCAAAAAAACAACCCAAAUGGGAUCACAAAAAAUCAGAAACAACUGAAAAACAAUAAAUUUACAUUGACCGAUUUGGUUAGCUUGCAAUUUUCUUGACAUGAAUUAUCACAUUUGAUCCUCAGCAAUUUUGGGAGGUAUGCAAUUAGUAAGCACUACUACCUUUAUGGUAGAUAUGAGUAAAUAAAAGCUCCAAUAGGUUAAGAUUUGAUGGUAAGUGGCAGAGCUAAGAUUUGAAUCCAUAUUAAAUUGUUCAACAAGUAUGUAUAUGUCAUGGGAAAAUUAAUAGCUCCAAAUUCUAAUCUAGACCAUCACAAUCCCUUAGGAAUUGCCCACAGCAAGCUAAAUUAAGCCUUUCCCUCUGAAAGUUCUCACAGUUAAUUAUUACUUAACUAUUCCGAAGUUUAAAAAAUUAUUCAAUUUCAUUCAAAAAUGUAAUUUACAUUUUAUUAAAGAGCAUCCAAAGUAAAAAAUCCAAGUUAUAUUAUCCUUGGCAUUAAUCAAACUUCUAUGAAAAUUACUUACAAGAAAAUUCUUCAUCUAGAAACUCCUGGCAGUUCUCCCAUACUAAAGAAUUUUCAGGGAAAAAACUCAUCCAAAAUGGGAUGAAGUCCCAAGAUAUCUUUACUGACACUAUACCUUCAUUAUUUUCUGCUUGUACAGGAAAGCUACAAAGUGUCUUAGUCUGACAGAUUCCAAAUAGGGCCAUAAAAUCCAGUUAUGGACAUUCAAAUGUAGAAUAUCUUAGCCAAUGGCCAAUAUGAAAAAGUCUUUAUAUUGUUAUAAGCACCAUGUUGAAGGAAAAAAAGCAAAGUCAAAUUCCACAAGCAGAAAGGGAAUACCUUCUACAGUCAAUACUUAAUUAUUUGUACUAAUGGAGAUAAACAGUUGUGAAUAAAUCAGAAGCUAUGGAUAAUCUAAAA